GACAGAGGUGCCGAGCGUUAGGCGGAAUCACUGGGCUUAAAGCGUGUGUAGGCGGAUGCCUAAGUACCUUGUGAAAUCUCCCGGCUUAACUGGGAGGGUGCGCCGGAAACUGGAGUGCUCGAGCGUGGGAGAGGAAAGCGGAAUUCCUGGUGUAGCGGUGAAAUGCGUAGAUAUCAGGAGGAACACCUGUGGCGAAAGCGGCUCACUGGACCAUAACUGACGCUGAUGCACGAAAGCUAGGGGAGCAAACAGG
rnacentral:rRNA from 1 species